rnacentral:rRNA from 1 species
GGUUUGAGUAAAAAGAGUGACGAAUGGAGAACUAGGGUGCACUAAAGAGGACGGAGCCCCGAAAUGGCGGAGGAGAGACUUUGAAGCCCUAAUGUCCUGCGCGGCAACGCAGGGGGGGGGCCAGGGGAGCGAAACAUCCCAGUACCGGGCCCCCCACCCCCCCCCCCCCCAUAGCGGGGUGUGUGGGGGGGGGCACAGUAAAAAUCAAACGAGAUUCCGUAAGUAGCGGCGAGCGAAAGCGGACGAGCCCUUUCCUGUAGGCCCCCCGUGAUGGGAAGAUGGGUGGCCACACAUCCAAGGCUUAAUAAUUAGUGUCACACCGAAAGAGGGGAGUACUGUGAAGGAAAGUUGAAAGAGACUUGCGGCCGUGGGUUACGCCAGUGACCUACGGCCACUUGAAAAGACCUUGAAAUGAGUCACUUAAAGCAGUUGUAACACAACGUACCUUUUGUAUAAUGGGUCCACGAGAUAAAAUUUGGCAAACUUAAAGUGCAAUCUUUGAUUAAGAUUCCUGGCAAUCUUCCUUGGAAGACUGCUAGGGAUCUCGCAGCCACCCCGCAGGGGAUGGCUGGGGGGAUUGUUCUUGGCCCCCUAAGGUGUAGUGAAAGCAAGGGGGGGGACACCCCCACCCCUCAGUCAAAUUUCCCGAAACCAAGUGAUCUAGCCAUGGGCAGUUUUUAGGAACGAACCGGUGGUUGUUGCAAAAAUCUCGGACGACCUGUGGUUAGGGGCGAAACGCCAAUCGAACUUGGAGAUAGCUGGUUUUCUGCGAAAACUAUUGAAGUAGUGCGUCCACAGUUCAAUGAUUCGAAAAAGUGUUAUUAUUCGAUGAGAAUGGCUUGGAAUGUGGUAAAGCCCGACCCCCCGAAGCCGGGGGAUUAACUAUGAAGAAAAAAAGCCAGAGUAGGACAGACAGACUGUGGGCGAUAAGGUCGACGGUCAAAAGGGGAGAAGCCCUAACCAGAAGUUAAAGUCAUUAAUAAAACAUUUAGUGUAAAAGAGAUAUUGGGUUUAGACAAUGAAGAAGUAGGCUUGGAGCCAGCCACCUUUGAGAGAUGACGUAGCAGUUCACUCAAGAAAUUCUUUUAUCUCUAAAAUUAUGGUGGCUAAAGUUGAACUGAAACUCUGGGGGCGAAAUAACAAGGUGGGGUUCCCCUAGAUUCCGCCUUAUGGGAACGAACCCUCCAUUAUAUUUGCCCGGUAGCAGAACGUACUGUUAAUUGUUCAGUGAGAGCCCGCACGGCAUCAGAAGUGAUAAUGUGGACAUGAGUAAAAAAUCAUAGGAUCACUCCCCCCCUGGUUUCCCAUAUUAAUUAUGGGGUUAAACAGCCCCUAAAAUCGCAGCCCCAAAGGUUGCGUUGAUGGGGGGCCAUGAGUAAUAGACGCACAAAGUGCCAGGAAAGAAUUAUUCAAGCGCCGCACUGUACUAAACUAACUAAAGUGGGGGAUAGUGAGGGGAUAAAUUUUCUUAAGGAACUCGGCAAAAUCCCAAUGGCCCACCAGGGCAUAUUGGAACACGGGCCUCGACUGUUUACCAAAAACAUAGCCCUCGGCCAAUAUGAAAAUAGAUGUAUAGAGGGUGAUGCCUGCCCAAUGGUUGUAUCUAAAAGCAGUUGAUAAAAGUCGACCUCGUAAGGACAAUUGAAUGGCCGCGGUAACACUGACCGUGAUAAUGUAGCGUAAUCAAUAGCCAAUUAAUUGUUGGCCAGUAUGAAUGGCGCCACGAAGGCCCCACUGUCUUAAGGAAAUUCCCAGUGAAAUUGAAUUCGUAGUGAAGAUGCUACGUCCAAUUUGUUAGACGAAAAGACCCCGUUGAGCUUUACUGGGGCACUUACACGGCCCUCGGCCUUCCCGUGCCCGGGAACCGGCCGAAUUUAAAUGGGUGGUUUAGACUAUGUGGCAGCCCCCCGCCGGGGCAGAUGAAACCCCACUCCCCCAUGUCAAAGGGGCUAACCCCCCCCUUGGGGGGGACAGUGUAAGUAGGACAGUUUGGUUGGGGCGACCGCCUUUUAAAGAGUAACGAAGGUGCGCUUAAGGUGCGCAAUUAAUGACUGAAGCCUGACUGCGAGGGGGAUACCCCGAGCAGACACCCCCCAAGCCCGCCCGAGGGCGGCGGUGGGGUGGGCCAUAGUGACCCGUUAAUUUAGAGUGGAAUAGUUAACGAUCAACGAAUAAAAGUUACCACGGGGAUAACAGCGUAAUAUCGUUAGAGAGUUCACAUCGACGACGAUGUUUGCGACCUCGAUGUUGAAUUGCGGCAUCCUGGGGUGCAGCCGCUCCCAAGGGUUGGUCUGUUCGUCCAUUAAAGCCGUACAUGAUUUGAGUUAAAAGCGUGGUAACACAGCUUGGUUUCUAUCUACAAAUUGAAGAAACAUCGAUAUAACUAUCUUCUAGUACGAAAGGACCGAAGGAUUAGUGAUCCCUUAUUUUUUUAUAAGUUACGAUCAACCCAUUGACCAUCGAACCCAUAGGGUUCGAUAGGUCUCUCAGCUAAUCACUGACCGCUUCUAAAGUGGGAAAGUCAUAUCGAAAUGUUUGGGCCCAUUAUAGGGGGGCUAAAACUAUAAAUCCAGUCUAAGACUGUCCCUUAUAGGGGCGCAGCCUCAAGGCCCUGCAACCUUCGUUGAAGGUUCCAGUCUACGAAGUAGA